rnacentral:rRNA from 1 species
UACGUAGGGGGCAAGCGUUGUCCGGAAUCAUUGGGCGUAAAGCGCGCGUAGGCGGCCCGGUAAGUCCGCUCUGAAAGUCCAGGGCUUAACCCUGGAAAGCGGGUGGAUACUGCCGGGCUUGAAUCCGGAAGAGGCGAGUGGAAUUCCUGGUGUAGCGGUGGAAUGCGCAGAUAUCAGGAGGAACACCAAUAGCGAAGGCAGCUCGCUGGGACGGUAUUGACGCUAAGGCGCGAAAGCGUGGGGAGCAAACAGG